ACCGGGAGCCGGGCCCGCCGGGCCCGGGAGCGCCGCCGCCGCCGCCCGGUUCCUGUUCCGGCCGUGGAGCGCAGGCGGCCGGGACACAGCGGCGCUGCGCGCUUGGCCGGACAACAGGGACUGAAAUACCGACUGGUGUUUAACCUUCCCCGCCGUCCCUGCCCGCUGCUCCUCGGCUACAUUCAAAAUCUCUGUUUCCUUGGUAACAGCGUGCGUACCUCCUGCCCUUCGGUGUGUGUCCUGCUGUCCUCCGUCAGGAGAGCCUCUCCCAGCGGGAACGGGGAAUGUGGGCCUGACUUCUGCUGCACUGCAUGAAGCUAAAUUUAACCCUCCGAGAGGCAAAGCACUCUACCCGCUACUUAAUUCCAUGCUUUAUUUAGCAGGAAAUAAGUCUUCCUUGGAAGAAGUAAAAAUAGUGCUCUGUAACAGUGAAAACAUGAAAUAAUUUCAAAAGUUUUUCUACGUCUAAAAUAUUUUAAUAUUGUUGCAGGUUAAAAGACUUAUCAUUAAGUGUUUUUUCUUCAGUAGUUUAUUCUUGGAUUUUGUAUCUGCAAAUACUGGUUUAAAUUGGUUGUCAGUAUGACAAGCAGCAGUAACUUUUUUUUCAAAAAACCCCAUACCAUGCCCACAUCGUGAUACUGCUGCAACUAGUUUGUAGAUGCCAGUGGUUUUUUACUACUUUCGUCUUUAUUACCUCAUAAUCAAUCAUGUCUACACUUUGUCAAGCACCUAAAAAUCCAAGGGUCACUACAAGAUUAGCCAACAUACUUGGCAUGGGGGCUCGUCCAGGGUCCUUCCAUGGUCUGGGGCCAGCACACUGCAAGAGGGCCUGGAGGCGUGCCUCACCCAGUUUUUAGAUGAUCAGCUCCCUGCUGGGUGGUAUUGGGCGAUGGAUUGGGUUCCCAACACUAUCCAGGAGACAGGUGGACUAGGGAGGUCUCAGAAGAGUCCACAGGAAAGGACCACUGGAAAUUUCACUGGUGAGUACAAUGAUUCAAAAAAGAAUCCUCAGAGCUCAACAGCGAUCCUUUCAGUCAUCUAGAAUUCAACAAUGAGCAAAGCAACAGGUCAUAGUCCUUUCAAAUUUUAUGUAGUUUUCACCAAUGCUUUAUUGAGAAGGGAACUGCAAUGCCAUUACACUGUUUGUUAGCCUUUGGUUACACUAUACAUUAUUUGAUAGCCACAUAACUGAAGAAGUUAAGUGCUACUCAAACCAGAGUCAGGCAAGGCAGAGGGUUUUUCUUUCCUUGUUGGAA